CAUAUGAAAUGCAAAUAGUUGUAUCUAAAGUGGUGUCUAUUAAGCAUUGCUCAGCCUGGGUUGAACUGAUGUUUCUGAUAUUCUGGUCUUGGUUGAUUCUACCUUCAAACAGGGAGUUUUGGGGAGCCAAUGUAGAGGGAAUUUUUAAGGUUUUGGUUUUUCACUAAGCCGUUUCUCACCACCCCUUUUUUUUUUUCAGAUCUUACUCUUUCCUCUCCUUGUCUCAUGUACCACCAGAAAUCUAUAGCAGGAGGCUCUAGAUUUAGAUCUCUAAUGAAGAUGCAAAGGGAGUUCUGUAACUACUGCUUUGACAGCAGAUACUAGUUCCUCAUAGAACCCCGAUGUCAAUACUGAGCAGGCUGCACUGAGUGGCAGAAAGUGCCACAUGAAAAAAAAAUGCUACUUCAUUUACAGAUAAAUGGCUCUUCUUCUGUGACCACUAUUGGGAAACUGGAAUCACUGAAGUGUUCAGAUGUCCUUGAGGGUAAAGGAGAUGAAGAAUUCUCUUGAAAUGAUGGUAUCAGGAAUUGAUCAGUAAGGACAAUGCAGAUAUGGAAGAACUGCAUGGAAAAAUUAGACAUGUUAGAAGCCUGGAAAAAAUCAAGCAGUGAGCACUUGAGAAACUGGGCAAAUAAGAGGUCAACAAAGUAAUCCUCAAAGUUCAAGGAAUGGUACAAAGAUGGAAGAAAUAACUCUCCUGCCUUGUCACCAAAAAUUGAGAAGAGCCUUGGAGCACUGAAAUACAUCAGUAUUUGGACAUUUUCAUCAAUGGAUGUUUUUAAGAAUAGACAAGAACUACUGCAAAUUGUUUAGGACAUGUAGGAGCAAACAUGUGAGAUACUAAUUUAACAAAUUUCCAUCCCACCACAUGUUCUGUGUAAAUCUUGGUUGAUGGUUAAAACUUUUCCUCCAUGAAAAUUUCCUAACACAAGAAGUCAAUGUGAAGUAAUUGCUGGGAAUGACUCUACAAAGAAGGGUUUUCUCUGACUCCCCAUUUUCUGGUCCUGGCUCCUGCUUCUUUUUGAACUCAAGAAUAGAUGAGGAGCAAUGAGUGGUUACAGAUGUAAUCUCUGUCAGGAGGAACAUCUUUCUUCUGUUUAUUUGCAUCAGACUUUUAUUUCUCUGUUAGCAUUAGAGACCUAAACUGUGUACAGAAAAAUGGUUCUAAAAAUCAUCUGAUUUUGAAGUGUAGCAUCUUGGCCAAAUGCUUUUACUCCACUAGCAAAUACUUGCCAGACACUAUCUGCAGCAGAAUUGGAAUCAUAUUAGUAGUGGAUACAGCUCCAAGUUCCUUCUGAAAGAUGGAGGUGCAGGGCUUUGGUAAUUUUUGAUUUAUUUACUCUUGGUAGUGUGAUAGCAUAACAAAAAUUGAGAAUGUAGUUAAAUAGAAAGACUUUUAGAAAAGUAAACAUUAUCCAUUCCCCCACCAUGCUGAAACAGAUUUAAAGAAGUAAUGCAUGCGGAAUAAAGAUGAUGGAACCAUAAAAACAACCUUUUGAUGAAAAAAAAAAAGUAGCAAAAGUAGCCUCUGUGAAAAAUAUUGCAAUGGUGUUUCAUGCUUUUUGAGAGAAAUUGUUUGGGUGUUGUUUUCCAUACGGAGAAAUGGGGAGAUUAAAGAUUUAACUUAAUCCUUUCAGAUGACAAUUCACUUGUCAUUUCCUAUUAAAAAUCACUGGAUUCUGUUUUCCUGCUUUAGUUUGUAGAAGGUUUUAAUAUUCACAGCUAUGAUUGUUCUUGAGACUUAAGUUUUUCUGUCCAGCAGGGUUUAGGA